UGGGGGAUCGUUCAGCGGCAGGACAACGGGUUCUGGCCCCGUUUACGAGGGUUCGAAUCCUUCUCCCCCAG
rnacentral:tRNA from 1 species